UUUCGAAUCAUUCACAAUGGGCGAAAGCCUGAUGGUGCGACGCCGCGUGGGGGAUGAAGGUCUUCGGAUUGUAAACCCCUGUCACCGGGGAAGAACCGCUUUGAAUUAACAGUUCAAAGCCUGACUUAACCCGGAGAGGAAGCAGUGGCUAACUCUGUGCCAGCAGCCGCGGUAAUACAGAGACUGCAAGCGUUAUUCGGAUUCACUGGGCGUAAAGGGUGCGCAGGCGGCCAAGUGUGUUAGAUGUGAAAUCCCGGGGCUCAACCCCGGAACUGCGUCUAAAACUACUUGGCUAGAGCAUUGGAGAGGGUAGUGGAAUUCACGGUGUAGCAGUGAAAUGCGUAGAUAUCGUGAGGAACACCAGAGGCGAAGGCGACUACCUGGACAAUUGCUGACGCUCAGGCACGAAAGCGUGGGGAGCAAAAGGG
rnacentral:rRNA from 1 species